rnacentral:rRNA from 1 species
CAAGAUCACAUGGCCGCGGCGACUAAGGGUCAUGUUUCUUGUGUCCAGCGAAAUUUUGCAGUUAAGUAGAUCAACAUUUCAAGGGAAAAGCGUGGACAUACAUACAAAGCUGAUGAGGAGAUAUAAGCAGGUCCCUGAGUGGUGGUUCAUCUGCAUCCUUCUUGUUAGCAUUGCUGCCACUGUGUUUGCUUGCGAGUACUACAUCGAGCAGCUCCAGCUGCCCUGGUGGGGAGUACUGGUUGCAUGCGCCAUUGCCUUUUUCUUCACCCUCCCAAUUGGGAUCAUCACAGCCACAACAAACCAGACCCCAGGAUUGAACAUUGUAACCGAGUACAUCAUCGGGUACUUGUACCCUGGACGUCCGGUCGCCAAUAUGUGCUUCAAGGUAUACGGUUAUAUCAGCAUGCACCAAGCUCUGAUGUUUCUUCAAGAUUUUAAAUUGGGACACUACAUGAAGAUUCCCCCAAGGACCAUGUUUAUGGCUCAGGUAAGCGCCACUAAGCCAUAUUUUCUCUCUCGAAUACGCACGAGUAUGCGUAUCAUAGAUUAAAGAGGAGCUACUAAACCAUAUACGUAGUUUACCUGCCAUUUCCACUCCACCAGGGCACACAAGACCAUGUUGUAUACUGACAGUAAGCAACAACUUCUUGGGAAAAUGGCAGGUGGUAGGAACAUCAAUUGUGGCAUUUGUGUACCUUGGAACGGCGUGGUGGCUGAUGGACACAAUCCCCAACAUCUGCGACAUUGAGCUUCUCUCAGCGGACAACCCUUGGACAUGCCCCACUGAUCAUGUGUUCUAUGAUGCGUCGGUCAUAUGGGGACUUAUUGGCCCGCGCAGAAUAUUCGGAGUCUUGGGAACUUACUCGGCAGUGAACUGGUUUUUCUUGGGAGGUGCUAUUGCUCCUCUGUUGGUAUGGUUUGCACACAAGGCAUUCCCCAGCCAGAAUUGGAUCUUACUCAUCAACAUGCCGGUGAUGAUCGGUUGCACUGUCAAGAUGCCGCCUGCCACUGCAGUAAACUACACCACAUGGGUACUUGUUGGGUUUUUGUCAGGUUAUGUGGUCUAUAGAUAUCGACGAGACUGGUGGGAACGACACAAUUAUCUGCUCUCAGGUGCACUAGAUGCAGGUUUGGCGUUCAUGGCUGUCUUAGUUUACUUGUGCCUAGGCUUGGAGAACAUUAGCUUGAACUGGUGGGGCAAUGACUUGGAUGGAUGUCCCCUAGCUUCUUGCCCCACUGCUAAAGGUAUAGUUGUCAAGGGUUGCCCUGUGUACAACUGAAAUUUUUUCUCACGUGCUCAAGAAAUUUCAGUAGUGAGUGAGCAUGCAUUGAUGUAAAUAACAAAUGUUUGUUCAAGCCUUUCACAGUGAGAAAAAAUAUGUUAAUUAUAUCAUUGAAAAUACCAGAAUGCUCAAAAUUGGAACGUCCAUAGUAACCACCUAAAGAACAAUUUUUUGUGCCAAUAGGUUUUUGCUGCCAAGUUAACUAUUGUUCUAGCUUGUAAAAGUACUAAUUCCUUGAUUCUUUGAAAUCUAGGAAAAUCAGUUUGCAUUGAAUUUACCACCACUAGUAAAAAAAUAUUGAUCACUAGAUAUUUUGAAGUACUGAACUUCUAUUAUUUCCAUUAGGAGUGUGGGACUAAAUGACUAAUCAUUGAUUAGUUUUUGGCUUCUAGCAACUUACAACCACUUCACCACUCAUGUGUCCCCCUAGUCUUCUCCUACUAACCGCGACCAAGAAGUGGUAUGCUCGGACUAGUCCACGGCGGAGCUAAUGGGGAGAGGCCGACCACUGGGAGAAUCAAACUAGGUUGGAGGGGGCCGAAGUGGAUGUGGUUUGGCGCAACAACUAUAUCUCACUUAUUGUGAGUUAGAAGGUGUGCUUGCCUUCGAAACUCCUUCAACUUGUUCGGCCCACCACACAAGUUCCUUUUCCUCGCGACCGCCUCUCUGGAGUAUGUGGGUUCCUUCACCCACGAGAUGAUGCGUACUGGACCGGUCUAGUUCGCCAUUUUUUAUCUUUC